CGCAGCCGCGGUAAUUCCAGCUCCAAUAGCGUAUAUUAAAGUUGUUGCAGUUAAAAAGCUCGUAGUUGAAUUUCGGGGUCAGUAGGUCGGUCGUGCCACUGGUAUGAACUGGUCUCACUGAUUCCUCCCUCUUGUAGAACCGUGAUGCCAUUAAUUUGGUGUUGCGGGGAAACAGGACUGUUACUUUGAAAAAAUUAGAGUGUCUAAAGCAAGCUAACGCCUGAAUACAUUAGCAUGGAAUAAUGAAAUAGGACGUCGAUCUUAUUUUGUUGGUUUCUAGGGUUGGCGUAAUGAUUAAUAGGGAUAGUUGGGGGCAUUAGUAUUCAAUUGUCAGAGGUGAAAUUCUUGGAUUUAUUGAAGACUAACUACUGCGAAAGCAUUUGCCAAGGAUGUUUUCAUUAAUCAAGAACGAAAGUUAGGGAUCGAAGACGAUCAGAUACCGUCGUAGUC
rnacentral:rRNA from 1 species